UAGGGCCAUAUCACGUCGAAACAUAGGUUCCGUACAAUCACCGAAGUUAAGCAACGUCGAGCCUGGCCAAUACCUAGAUGGGUGACUGCUUGGAAAUACCAAGUGUUGUCAG